rnacentral:rRNA from 1 species
AUUGAACGCUGGCGGCAUGCCUUACACAUGCAAGUCGAACGGCAGCUCGGGGCAACCUGGUGGCGAGUGGCGAACGGGUGAGUAAGGCAUCGGAACGUACCUUUCAGUGGGGGAUAACGUAGCGAAAGUUACGCUAAUACCGCAUAUUCUGUGAGCAGGAAAGCAGGGGAUCGCAAGACCUUGCGCUGAUUGAGCGGCCGAUGUCAGAUUAGCUAGUUGGUGAGGUAAAGGCUCACCAAGGCGACGAUCUGUAGCGGGUCUGAGAGGAUGAUCCGCCACACUGGAACUGAGACACGGUCCAGACUCCUACGGGAGGCAGCAGUGGGGAAUUUUGGACAAUGGGGGCAACCCUGAUCCAGCCAUGCCGCGUGAGUGAAGAAGGCCUUCGGGUUGUAAAGCUCUUUCGGCCGGGAAGAAAUCGCACGGGCUAAUACCCUGUGUGGACGACGGUACCGGAAUAAGAAGCACCGGCUAACUACGUGCCAGCCGCCGCGGUAAAAC